GGAUAUAGCUCAGUGGUAGAGCGUGUGCUUAGCAUGCACAAAGUCCUGGGUUCAAUCCCAAGUACCUCCU
rnacentral:tRNA from 1 species